rnacentral:rRNA from 1 species
GACGAACGCUGGCGGCGUGCUUAACACAUGCAAGUCGAACGGAAAGGCCCUGCUUUUGUGGGGUGCUCGAGUGGCGAACGGGUGAGUAGCACGUGAGUAACCUGCCCUUGACUUUGGGAUAACUUCAGGAAACUGGGGCUAAUACCGGAUAGGAGCUCCUGCUGCAUGGUGGGGGUUGGAAAGUUUCGGCGGUUGGGGAUGGACUCGCGGCUUAUCAGCUUGUUGGUGGGGUAGUGGCUUACCAAGGCUUUGACGGGUAGCCGGCCUGAGAGGGUGACCGGCCACAUUGGGACUGAGAUACGGCCCAGACUCCUACGGGAGGCAGCAGUGGGGAAUAUUGCACAAUGGGCGGAAGCCUGAUGCAGCAACGCCGCGUGCGGGAUGACGGCCUUCGGGUUGUAAACCGCUUUCGCCUAUGACGAAGCGUGAGUGACGGUAAUGGGUAAAGAAGCACCGGCUAACUACGUG